CCUGUGCGACAGAGUGAGACUCCAUCUCACAAAAAAAAAGACAUUAUUCUCAUGAAAACAGUCAUGACAGUCAUGAACAAGUAGUCCUAUUUGUACAAAAUGAAAUACAAAUGACUAAUAAAUAGGUAAAAAGAUAUUCAACUUCACCAAUAACAAAGGAAUGUAAGUUAGAAAAAAAGAAAUGUAAUUUUCACUCAUCAGAGUAACAAACUUUUAUCAUAUCAAAUAUUGAUGAUGUUGUAAAGAAAUGAAUACUCUUUUUUACAGCUUAGUAGUAUUCCAUGGUAUACGUAUAUUCUGUAUUUUCUUUAUCCACUCAUUGGUUGAUGGGCACUUAGGUUGAUUCCAUAUCUUUGCAAUUGUGAAUUGUGCUGUGAUAAAUAUACACUGUUUUUGUAAGUAUAAAUUUUUGCAGCUAUUUACAGUACAAUUUUGGCAGUGUCUAUUAGAGUGAAAAAUAAUGUCUCCUCUGACUCAGCAAUUCAUUUCUGUUUCUACCUUAAGGAUGCACUUGCAUGUGCCCUGUAUGAAAGUACAAGCAUGUUAACUGCAGCAGUGUUAGUUACAGGCAAAAUUGGAAAUGAACAUCAAAACUGGGAUAAGAGCACCAUGGUAAAUCUGGACUAUGUAGUACUUGCAAAAGAUGCAGAUAAGCCUACGUGUACCAAUGUGGAAAGGUCUGUGAAACAUAUUGUUCACUGCAAAAAAUAACAAUUCCAAAAAAAGAAGUAUAGAUAAAAAAAUUUGGGUAUAAAAUCAACCCACAUACAAAAUAUAGAUCUUUGUAUAGUUGCAUACCUCUCUACAUGUUUGUAUAUGUUUUACAUACGUAUCUAUCUCUAUCUAUCAUCUAUCUCUCUCUCUCUCUAUCUAUCUAUCUCUCUAUCAUCUAUCUAUCUAUCUAUCUAUCAAGAGAUUGAUUUCAAUUCAAAGUAAAGUAACAGUAUAUUUGGAUGCAGAGCAAACAUAAGAGUGGCCUCCUCUACAAAAGGGACUCAAGAUAGAAAUCUGAAAAGCACAGAAAACUACAAAGGUAAAAAUAAACAACUAUAUUCCUAUGGUACCUUCUUUUAGCAUUUUUCUCUAUAUCCUUCCAGCCAUUUUUCUAUAUAGGUAUAGGGCAAGUUGGAAGUCUUGAUCUGCAGCAAAGGACCUUAUUUUAGAGGCAAAAAAUAUAUUAGUGUUAGUGAAUAGAUGUAGAAGAAAUUGAAAUCUGUGAACUCUGAGAAUUCAGGGGACGAUGUACCGAUCACUGACACCUUGGGGAGAAACAGACAAUGGGGAGAUAAACUGUGAAAUGUGCCCAUUGCUGGAACUUGAAGAGUGGAUGAGGAGUUUGAUGGAAUGGUAUGGAGGGGCCAAAUGCCACUGAAUCACUCAGGCACCCUCCUCCCCCAGUCACCUUAAUCAUGCCCUGUUUAUACAAACAAUAGCACAAUGAGAAAAAUGUAGAUACAACUGGAGGAACCCACCCAGGAAAAGUGUUUGGUAGAGUUUUGCAGAAGAUAGGAUAAGAUCUAGAGGAGAAGAAUUGGAAUUAUAAAUACAGUGGUUAAUUCUAGGCUCUACAUGUGUGGGAAUUUGGGCCAAUUUUGCUUUUAUAUUUCCCAGGGGAAAAAUGUCUGUUUCAACUAUAUUUUCAAAUUUAUUAUUAUAAAGUUUUUCAUAGUGUUAAUAUCUUCUUGAAAUUUUCAAACAUCAUACUUAUCCACGUGUCAGGAUUUUUUGGUUUUUAAUGUUAUUUGUUUCUUAUCCUUCUUGAUCCUAUUUGCCUAGGGUUUAUCUGUUUUAUGAGUCAUUUCAAAGAACAAGUUUUGGUUUUGCUGAUUAACUCAUUUCUGGGGAGGGAAAAUGUUUUUCAUUAAUUACAGUUUCUAGCUUAUAUUUUGUUCUUUCGAAUUUCGUUGGGUUUAUUUUCUUCCAUUUCCCUGUCCACUAAUGGGAUUUUGGAUUUCCUCUUCUCUGCAUUGCCUGUACAUUGCCUGGAGGCAGCAACGCAUAUGGCUAAUAAAACAUAUUGAGGAUGAAUGAGAAAACAACCUGGUUCCUGGAAGGAGAGAAACAAGGUGGAGUCUUCUCACAGAAACAAGGAGAAGGUCAGAGAGACCUCCGGGAGCAUCUCAUCUUGGAGGUAGCUGUUUGCAUGAGGGCAGUGCUUGUCCUGAGAUGCUAGUUUCGCAGAGUGGUGUUCACAAGGGAAAUAAGCUAGGUCAUUACCGUCUACCCUUACACCAGGAAGAGGAAAACAUUUCAGGCUUAUAUACCAAGGCUUUCCUGCCCCUAAGCUGUCCAGAGUUGCCUUAGUAUUGAUUAUCUUAACUUAAUUAUUAUAAAGUUUGCUGGUAAUGCUUUUGUAUUAAGAGUAAAAGAUAACCUUGAGAGCUGCAAACAUGAGCCCAGCGAUCCAGGAGAUCAAGUUAAUAAUUCUGGAUAUCAAGAGAUCCACGAUUAGUCAAUUCCAACCUGUUUUCCUUUGAUGCCUUAAUCAAGGUUUAGUUAUAGUUAACCUACUUUCAAAAUGCUUACUUCCACCCUCCCUCCAAGAAUCACCCUGAGCAUUUCCUCCACUCUCUAAGUUUAGGAAUUUAGGACUUUCCCCCAAGAAAGGCACUGUAGAGAACAAACAUAUGACAUCUCAAAGACACUUCGCCAUUUCAAAUAGGAAAGAAAAAUUUGCAUCCAAACAGGCCAAAUAUUGCACUCACUGUUAAUGUAAUCAUUUUUCUGACUUUGAAUUCCUUUUCCCAAGUGACUAAACAACGUCUUUAUUCUAACCUUUCGGCACUAGGCAGUUUUUCUCCUGCUUUAGUUUCCUCUACAACCUCCGGAAGAGUUUUCCUCAGCCCUGUUACCUGUUUCGUCCAUCAUUCUGUUGCUCACUGGAUUGGUUUUUACAUUAGUGUGUUUUGACAGCACACAAUGGUUUCCUCAGUUACACAACAGACUCAGUGCCAAUAAACUUUUUUUUAGGUAAUGUAAAGCAUAUUUGAGCACAAGAAUGAUUGCAUUUUCAUGGCUAAAAAUAAACAGUUGUUUUUAAUUUUCCAUGAGAAUGCUGGCUCUUAGCACAAGGGGCCACCUUCUACCUGGUGAACUCUUUAUGCCAAAGUCAUCACUACGUGGCUAGAAAUGUGAAAUUCAAGUUUUCCUUAUGUAACAUAAAGGGAAAAGCCCAUAGGCAAAUCUCUCUUUAAUUCCAUCGUAUCACUGCUCAUGCACAGUGCUUUUAAAACAGACUAUAACAAACAUACCCUAACAGAGAAACAAGUCCUACCCUAGCUAAUUUACAUAAAAAGACUAUCUUUAUUUUUAUAGUAACAAAAAAAGCUAGGAUUAUCUCAUUUAAUCCUUAUACCAUCAUUAUGAAGUGGGUAAUGUUAUACUUACAAAAGGAAGUUAAUCAUUUCUUAUUUUCCACAGACACCACAAGCUCAAGAGGCUGCAUUAGCGUUUUUUAUUGGAGGCAUUUUCUUUUCCUCCAGAUUUUGUUUUUGACUGUUAAGGUCAUAGCUACAAACAAUUGAUCAAGCCUAAAAGGGCAUUUAUAAACCACCUGCAUCUACAUUUUUUUCUUACUGUGGAUGGAUUUAAAAAGCCGUUUCAAGAUGAAAUCUUAUGAGUCAUUAUCAUGUCUUCUGAGGGCUGAGAUAUAACUUUGAAGUAGAGCCCAAACAUGAAGAUCAUGAAGAUGGCUUCUUCUCCAAAUGAUGUUAUCUUAAAAACUUGAAAAAGACAAAAAAAAAAAAAAAAAAAAAGAAGAAGAAAAAGAAAAAAGAAAGAAAAAAAGAGAGAGCGAGCCAAGGGAACUUGAAUCAGACAAACCUGGUUCAAAGUGAUUAUUCAACAAAUGUAAGCUGUUAUCAUCUUGUCCUCCAUCAUUCAAAUAUGUCCUGUAUAGAUCUUCCAUUAAUUUCAAAUAUCUAAUGAUCUACACCAUCAAAUAUUAUGAAGGUGAUGUUUAGCAGGUCAUUGGCUAAGACAGGCUCUACCUCAGUCUCUAAUAGAGAAGGAAAGACAAGUAGCAUUUACUAACACCCACAGUAUGCUUCAUAUUGUUGCCAGAAAUUUCAAAUGCACCAUCUAUUGAUGCAUGGAAUCCUUUCAACAUUCUUAGAAGACAAGACCUCCACCCUCUGCAAAACAUCUUCCCAGGAUUAUGGGAAGUGCCCAAGAUGUGGUCACGGGUGUACCACAGCCAGUUGGCUUCUGUGGUACUCUGCCGCUGCGCCUGCCUCCACUUCUGUGGUUCAUCCCCAACUCCCAUGGAAGUUGGAGCACUUUCACGGAACCCUGCGGUUCUUUCCAACAUGCAGCAGCCACCAGCCACAGUCACCUGCAACCACAAAUCAGCAAAGCCCCACAGCCCCGAAUCUCCACUGAGGUUUGUAAUGAAGUGGGACUUCAAGUUUAAGUCUUUCUCCGAGGCUAUUACGGCCUGCCAGUAGGGGCUCUCCAUGUGCACUGCUCAAACCAUUAUGCUCUAUAACUGUUUUCAGUGUAAGGCUCUUUACGCUUUGUUAGUAAUCUCUUGCUCUCCGGAGCCCAGAGAGUGACAGAUUCGUAACAGACCCCUGUUCACUCCUCGUUGCCUCUCCCCUGUGCUGAGAGGGCUUCUCAUUGGCUCAGGUGCAUCCCCUGUGCUGCUUCUCCCCUCAGGAUGCCCUCUUCAUCUAGAGGUUUCUCCAGGGAACCUGCCUGGCUCACUCACCUAACAAGCUAAGAAAUGUCUGAACCGUCUUUAAAUUCAAGCCAGGAGCCUAGAAGUAGUCCUAGGGAAAACGAAACAAAACAAAACAAAACAAAACAAAACCAACAAACAAACAAACACGACUGGAAAGAAAUACAUGGAGAAGUUAACAGGAGGGCUCCUUGGAGAGAUGGUUAAUUCUGGGGCUGGCCUGGGAAGGAUGAGAUGAGGCUGAAGCACCUUGCUGUGCCGGAACAUCAGGACGUGCUCAAAAAGUGAUGAGGCCAGGGCCUGAUGGAAGAGGCUCCCAGCAACCAAACCUGCCAAGGUUUGAGCACCAAAAAAACAGCAACAGUGAUUCUAUAACCCAUGAGAAUAAAAGAAUCAGUCCAUGAUGACAUAGAUGGCCUGGGAAGCCCUCUGCACGCCUUUCUCAACUAAGGAAUUUGUGGAAGUAGAAUUUCUUCUGUUGACAGAAUUCUGCUGAGAACUGAAUUUUCUGCUGUUUUCAUUACUCUUUUCUAAAUGUUUCACAGUUCUGUUUUUUUUACAGCCAGAUUUCCAUUUGAUACUGGUUGUGGUUACACUAAAAGUAACAUCUAUGGCCAAAUGGCUGGAAAUUUUACAUUUUUGACACCGAGAUUUUUCCUGUACUUCACGGAGGGCAAGGGUUAUACCCUAUUUUUUCCCAGUCUCCCACAGUGCCCAACCCAGACGACCGUACAUAAUAAGCGCUUUAUUCUCAGCACUGCUGUAUGCCUCAUUGGAACAGGAUGCCCAAGGUGAUGGCUGCAGAAAUGGAUGGAUUGGAGCGUGACUUGCCAAGACAGGUAUGUAGAAAUUAUUGUGGAGUGACGUGGCAUGAUCUCAGCUUACUGCAGCCUCAACCUCCCGGGCACAGGUGAUUCUCCAACCUCAGCCUUGGAGUAGC
rnacentral:lncRNA from 1 species